UCUCUCUCUCUCUCUCUGUCUCUCUCUGCCUCUCGCUCUCUAGCUGUAAGUUCAUUCACUGUGGCGAGCAACAACUGUGCAAAGAGGAGGUUUGAUCCUGUUGUUGAGCAUCGUCCCUCCCUGAGAUGCUGCUGCUGCUGAUGCUGCUGCUACUGCAGCCUCAUCCACCUGCACAACCCCAUGGCUGGCUGGCUGGCUGGCUGGCUGGCUGGCUGACACGUUAGGCACUACUGCUACACGCUGGGACUGCGAGGGGGCUGCCUGCGCAUGGGGAACACCUGCCUGUGAACAAACGCUGCUGAUCGACGCGCAGGCUGCUAACCCCAUUGCAAUCCGCCGCUCUCCACUGUGGACAACACAAAAACAAGGUGAUACACCUUACAAUCACGGCAUGUCUUCUCUGAGGCAGGGGAUCAGACACCAGCCUGGCUAGUAGCUCUGUGGAAGGCUGUGCCUGGACCAACACUCACAGGGAGGUUUCAUUAUGUGUGGAUAUGCUGGUGUGGGGUGAGAGCGAAAGAGAGAGAGAGAGCAGGACAGGGCUAAAAUGGGCAUCUCUUCCUCCUUAUGGAUCGCUCCUGGAGGACAGGACCACCAGGACUUCCAAGGAGGGCAGGGCUUCAGACCACCUCUGGCCCAGAAAAACCUUUGAAGGGGCCUUGUGUUGUGCUUCAAGGCGUCUUCAAUCAAUUAUGUUGAUACAGCGUCUUUCUCUGUGUUGCUUGCCAUUGGGAUCGACUGAGGAAUUUGAUGAUGCGGUCACGCUUGCUUGCGAUUCCCAUUAUUGCCUCUCUGUGUUUAAGAUUCUCUUCGGUGACGGGUAUUCUUGGGUGUAUAAUACGGAUCACGUUGUUAUUGCUUAAGAAUACGCGUAGUCGAGGAGAGUCCUCUUCUUCUUCUUCGUCUGUCUUCGUCUGCAGCUGAGGACUAUUGAUCAGAUCGAAGCAGCUCAAAGUACCCCCUUACCUGUUUCCUUUUAAUACUGAGGAGUUGGCACACUGAAACACAAACCGUAGAGACUGACUGACAUCCAGGCCCAUUUAUCAAGCAAGGAGACAGAGCACUGCCGGCUGCCUAUCUGUUUCAGUGAUGAUUGUGCUGUCCAGUCUUGAGAUAGUGUCGACCAACCACUCUCGUCUGCAGUUUUUUUUUUUAACCGCCCCCCCUCCCCACCCUUUUUCAUAAUUUUUAUACUGUGUUGUUGUCGUUUUGUCACAGAUGUUUCAGAUGUCACAUGUUUAUUUGACCAUUAUCAUGUCCAGUAUAUGAAAGUGUAUUUGCAUAUAUUCAUGCUGCAUUAUGUAUUUGUGUUGUGUGGUAGAUAUGCUACAGUGAGUGUGUAUUUCAUAGGCUUCUGAUACAACCGGAUAGUGUUGUUGUGCAGUUAUAGCAGAGGUUAGACUGCAUGGCCCUGGUCCUCUCUCAUGCAAAUCUCUCGAGUCUAUUCAUUAUCAGUUGUCCAGACCAAGCACUCUUUUCCUCCUUCUCCUUUUUUUAUGCAAAUUGAUUUUGAAAUGACAUUUAUCGCAUUGGGUUUUCCACACGAAAGAGCUGCCACACCGGAGCCCAGACAACAAAAUGUCCACCGCUCUAGCGAGAGCUCAAUUUAUGCAUUGGAGGAGAGUGGGUCUCGAUAACAAUUACCACAGGCUCAAAUAGACCAUAACCGGGUUUUCCAUGUUAUCAUAUGUAUGUUAUAUGCCAUGAAUAUGUAUCAGUCAGUCCCCCUGGUCGGAUGCAGGGUGCAUUCUGAACCCUAACACCCAUGUAAAAUCCAUUCAAACACCAUUAUAGAAACUACUUAACUUAUAGAGCCUCACUCAAGAUUCCCCUCCAGAAUUUUUUUUAAUGUCUAUUAAAUGUCAUAAAAAACUAAAUGUAUGGUAUUUAAUAUUCAAAAGGUUUUCGUUUUUUUUAUUUUUUACAAGCAUUCGUUGUCUUUUAAGAAUAAUGAAAAAAUCAACAGCUAAACAACUGGUCUUGAUUACUAUCAUACAAAUUAAUUAAACUAGCUGUACUAAUACCAUUUCAGAUAUUUAAAUGAACACAAUUAUAUGUUAACUGCUUGGCUCGCUUGAUAAGAAAGAAACACCAGAAGCUUGGUUGACCCCAUAUUUCACCACAAUGGAAACUACAUAUCUGAUAAAGAUCAUAUCAGAAUGUACUUUGGAUAUCACCUUCUGUAUUAGAUCUAAAUUCUUUCUGA